rnacentral:rRNA from 1 species
CCUACGGGUGGCAGCAGUGAGGAAUAUUGGUCAAUGGUCGGGAGACUGAACCAGCCAAGCCGCGUGAGGGAGGAAGGUACAGAGUAUCGUAAACCUCUUUUGUCAGGGAACAAAGACUGGGACGCGUCCCCGGAUGAGUGUACCUGAAGAAAAAGCAUCGGCUAACUCCGUGCCAGCAGCCGCGGUAAUACGGAGGAUGCGAGCGUUAUCCGGAUUUAUUGGGUUUAAAGGGUGCGUAGGCGGUCUGUUAAGUCAGCGGUAAAAGCACGGGGCUCAACCCGGGCCCGCCGUUGAAACUGGGAAUCUUGAGUGGGCGAGAAGUAUGCGGAAUGCGUGGUGUAGCGGUGAAAUGCAUAGAUAUCACGAAGAACUCCGAUUGCGAAGGCAGCACGCUGGACCGCAACUGACACUGAGGCUCGAAAGUGUGGGUAUCAAACAGGAUUAGAUACCCUAGUAGUC